UACGUAGGGUGCAAGCGUUUAAUCGGAAUUACUGGGCGUAAAGCGUGCGCAGGCGGUUAUGUAAGACAGAUGUGAAAUGCCCGGGCUUAACCUGGGAACUGCAUUUGUGACUGCAUGGCUAGAGUUUGGCAGAGGGGGGUAGAAUUCCACGUGUAGCAGUGAAAUGCGUAGAUAUGUGGAGGAACACCGAUGGCGAAGGCAGCCCCC
rnacentral:rRNA from 1 species